GAUGAACGCUGGCGGCGUGCCUAAUACAUGCAAGUCGAGCGAACAGACGAGGAGCUUGCUCCUCUGACGUUAGCGGCGGACGGGUGAGUAACACGUGGAUAACCUACCUAUAAGACUGGGAUAACUUCGGGAAACCGGAGCUAAUACCGGAUAAUAUAUUGAACCGCAUGGUUCAAUAGUUAAAGACGGUUUUGCUGUCACUUAUAGAUGGAUCCGCGCCGCAUUAGCUAGUUGGUAAGGUAACGGCUUACCAAGGCAACGAUGCGUAUCCGACCUGAGAGGGGGAUCGGCCAAACUGGAACUGAGACACGGUCCAGACGCCUACGGGAGGCAGCAGUAGGGAAUAGUCCGCAAUGGGCGAAAGCAUGACGGAGCAACGCCGCGUGAGUGAUGAAGGUCUUCGGAUCGUAAAACUCUGUUAUUAGGGAAGAACAAAUGUGUAAGUAACUAUGCACGUCUUGACGGUACCUAAUCAGAAAGCAACGGCUAACUACGUG
rnacentral:rRNA from 1 species